CCUACGGGAGGCAGCAGUGGGGAAUAUUGGACAAUGGGGGGAACCCUGAUCCAGCGACGCCGCGUGAGUGAAGAAGUAUUUCGGUAUGUAAAGCUCUAUCAGCAGGGAAGAAAGAAAUGACGGUACCUGACUAAGAAGCCCCGGCUAACUACGUGCCAGCAGCCGCGGUAAUACGUAGGGGGCAAGCGUUAUCCGGAUUUACUGGGUGUAAAGGGAGCGUAGACGGUUACGCAAGUCUGGAGUGAAAGGGGGGGGCUCAACCCCCGGACUGCUUUGGAAACUGUAUAACUGGAGUGCAGGAGAGGUAAGUGGAAUUCCUAGUGUAGCGGUGAAAUGCGUAGAUAUUAGGAGGAACACCAGUGGCGAAGGCGGCUUACUGGACUGUAACUGACGUUGAGGCUCGAAAGCGUGGGGAGCAAACAGGAUUAGAUACCCCUGUAGUC
rnacentral:rRNA from 1 species